rnacentral:rRNA from 1 species
UGGGAAUAAUGCCUUAUAAGAUACGUUUGUCGCAUGGCAUUUGUAUUAAACGCUCCGGCGCCAUAGGAUGGACCCGCGUCCCAUUAGCUAGUUGGUGAGAUAACAGCUCACCAAGGCCACGAUGGGUAACCGGUCUGAGAGGGCGAACGGUCACACUGGAACUGAGACACGGUCCAGACUCCUACGGGAGGCAGCAGUGGGGAAUAUUGCGCAAUGGGGGCAACCCUGACGCAGCAAUACCGCGUGAGUGAAGAAGGUUUUCGGAUCGUAAAGCUCUGUUAUUGGGGAAGAAAAAAAGACGGUACCCAAGAAGAAAGUUCCGGCUAACUACGUGCCAGCAGCCGCGGUAAUACGUAGGGAACAAGCGUUGUCCGGAUUUACUGGGCGUAAAGGGCACGCAGGCGGUUUUUUAAGUCAGAUGUGAAAGGCCACAGCUCAACUGUGGACAUGCAUUUGAAACUGAAAGACUUGAGUAUUGGAGAGGCAAGUGGAAUUCCUAGUGUAGCGGUGAAAUGCGUAGAUAUUAGGAGGAACACCGGUGGCGAAGGCGGCUUGCUGGACAAAUACUG